rnacentral:rRNA from 1 species
AGAGUUUGAUCCUGGCUCAGAUUGAACGCUGGCGGCAGGCUUAACACAUGCAAGUCGAGCGGGGAAGUAUAGCUUGCUAUACGACCUAGCGGCGGACGGGUGAGUAAUGCUUAGGAAUCUGCCUAUUAGUGGGGGACAACAUUCCGAAAGGAAUGCUAAUACCGCAUACGCCCUACGGGGGAAAGCAGGGGAUCUUCGGACCUUGCGCUAAUAGAUGAGCCUAAGUCAGAUUAGCUAGUUGGUGGGGUAAAGGCCUACCAAGGCGACGAUCUGUAGCGGGUCUGAGAGGAUGAUCCGCCUCACUGGGACUGAGACACGGCCCAGACUCCUACGGGAGGCAGCAGUGGGGAAUAUUGGACAAUGGGCGCAAGCCUGAUCCAGCCAUGCCGCGUGUGUGAAGAAGGCCUUUUGGUUGUAAAGCACUUUAAGCGAGGAGGAGGCUACUUGGAUUAAUACUCUAGGAUAGUGGACGUUACUCGCAGAAUAAGCACCGGCUAACUCUGUG